rnacentral:rRNA from 1 species
CUACGGGGUGCUGCAGUUAGGAAACUUUUGCAAUGCACGAAAGUGUGACAAAGCGAGCCAAAGUGUUUUUCUAUUUUAGAAAAACUUUUGCCAGCUGUAAAAAGACUGGCGAAUAAGGACUGGGCAAGACCGGUGCCAGCCGCCGCGGUAAUCCCGGCAGUCCAAGUCGGAGCCACAUUUAUUGGGUCUAAAACAUUCGUAGCUUGCUUCGUAAGUUUUUUGUUAAAUCUUAUAUCUUAAAUAUAAGGCUGCAAAAAAGACUGCGUAGCUAGAGGUUGCCAGAUGUGAGAAGAACUAUUGAGGUAGCGGUAAAAUGUGUUGAUCUCAAUAGGACUAACAACAGCGAAGGCAUCUCACAAGGACAAUUCUGACAGUGAGGAAUGAAGGCUAGGGGCGCGAAACGGAUUAGAUACCCCGGUAGUC